rnacentral:rRNA from 1 species
AUUGAACGCUGGCGGCAGGCCUAACACAUGCAAGUCGAGCGGGGUUUUCGGACCUAGCGGCGGACGGGUGAGUAAUGCGUAGGAAGCUACCCGAUAGAGGGGGAUACCAGUUGGAAACGACUGUUAAUACCGCAUAAUGUCUACGGACCAAAGUGUGGGACCUUCGGGCCACAUGCUAUCGGAUGCGCCUACGUGGGAUUAGCUAGUUGGUGAGGUAAUGGCUCACCAAGGCGACGAUACCUAGCUGGUUUGAGAGGAGGAUCAGCCACACUGGAACUGAGAAACGGUCCAGACUCCUACGGGAGGAAGCAGUGGGGAAUAUUGGACAAUGGGCGCAAGCCUGAUCCAGCCAUGCCGCGUGUGUGAAGAAGGCUUUCGGGUUGUAAAGCACUUUCAGUAGGGAGGAAGCGUUGUGUGUUAAUAGUACACAGCGUUGACGUUACCUACAGAAGAAGCACCGGCUAACUCUGUGCCAGCCGCCGCCGUAAGAC